rnacentral:rRNA from 1 species
AUUGAACGCUGGCGGCAGGCCUAACACAUGCAAGUCGAGUGAGCGGCGGACGGGUGAGUAAUGUCUGGGAAACUGCCUGAUGGAGGGGGAUCACUACUGGAAACGGUAGCUAAUACCGCAUACCAUCAGAUGUGCCCAGAUGGGAUUAGCUAGUAGGUGGGGUAACGGCUCACCUAGGCGACGAUCCCUAGCUGGGCUGAGAGGCUGACCAGCCACACUGGAACGGAGACACGGUCCAGACUCCGACGGGAGGCAGCAGUGGGGAAUAGUGAACAAUGGGCGCAAGCCUGAUGCAGCCAUGCCGCGUGUGUUAAGAAGGCCUUCGGGUUGUAAAGCACUUUCAGCGGGGAGGCGUUACCCGCAGAAGAAGCACCGGCUAACUCCGUGCCAGCAGCCGCGGUAAUUC